AAUAAAAAAAAAAAAAAAAAAAAAGAUGAAAUUUAGAACAUCUAAGUAAAUACUAAUGUAUUUUAUGUCAGAAUUUUACUAGAAAUUUUUCAAUAAUGGGUCAUACAUAAUGAAAUGAAUGUGUUUGAAGCUCCUUUAUAAUGACGUCAUCACAUAACAUGAAAUAUAACAUGUGACAUGGCAUCAUCACAUAACAUGAAAAUCACCCUGUUCUCCCAACUUUCUUGCAAAAAUCUCCCAAUUUUUCAGAUUUCAAGGUUGGCACCUAUAGAAUUACAUAAGCACCAUUGUGUUCUAUGCCAUAUUGCCAUCUCCCCGAAAGUUGGAAAAUUCCUUUUUGAAAAGUCAUUUGGUUUAUUCAUUAAGAAGUUAUUGCAGAACUGUUUGACAAAAGAAAUGAACUCCAGGCUGUUCAGGCAAUUUUGCAAUGACGUGAAGAGAUGAAUAUCCAAGGAGAUGCAAGAAAUGGAAAUAUCAAGAAAUUUAGCUGAAUUAAAAUUAAGAGAACACCAUGGAGAUGUUGUUGAAGCUUUAAUUGAGUUAACAAAUUAAUUUAUUAUUGUAAUAAAGAUUUUUCUACUUUG